AACGAACGCUGGCGGCAGGCUUAACACAUGCAAGUCGAACGCCCCGCAAGGGGAGUGGCAGACGGGUGAGUAACACGUGGGAAUCUACCCUUUGCUACGGAACAACUCCGGGAAACUGGAGCUAAUACCGUAUGUGCCCUUCGGGGGAAAGAUUUAUCGGCAAAGGACGAGCCCGCGUCGGAUUAGCUAGUUGGUGGGGUAAAGGCCUACCAAGGCGACGAUCCGUAGCUGGUCUGAGAGGAUGAUCAGCCACACUGGGACUGAGACACGGUCCAGACUCCUACGGGAGGCAGCAGUGGGGAAUAUUGGACAAUGGGCGAAAGCCUGAUCCAGCCAUGCCGCGUGAAUGAUGAAGGCCUUAGGGUUGUAAAAUUCUUUUGCAGGGGAAGAUAAUGACGGUACCCUGCGAAUAAGCUCCGGCUAACUUCGUGCCAGCAGCCGCGGUAAU
rnacentral:rRNA from 1 species